rnacentral:rRNA from 1 species
GAGGAAAAGAAACCAACAGGGAUUGCCUCAGUAACGGCGAGUGAAGCGGCAACAGCUCAAAUUUGAAAUCUGGCCUCUUGGGGUCCGAGUUGUAAUUUGUAGAGGAUGUUUCGGGUACCGCCUCGGUUUAAAUUUCUUGGAACAGAAUGUCAAAGAGGGUGAGAAUCCCGUCUUGGACCGGCGGUAGGGCCUAUGUGAAACUCCUUCGACGAGUCGAGUUGUUUGGGAAUGCAGCUCAAAAUGGGUGGUAAAUUUCAUCUAAAGCUAAAUAUUGGCCAGAGACCGAUAGCGCACAAGUAGAGUGAUCGAAAGAUGAAAAGCACUUUGAAAAGAGAGUUAAACAGUAUGUGAAAUUGUUGAAAGGGAAGCGCUUGCAACCAGACUUGAGCGCGGCGGUUCCCCCUUGCUUCUGCUUGGGUUACUCCGCCGUGUCCAGGCCAACAUCGGUUCUGGGGGUCGGUCAAAGGCUCUGGGAAUGUAUCUACCCACGGGUAGACUUAUAGACCAGGGUGUCAUGCGACCUCCCGGGACCGAGGAACGCGCUUCGGCUCGGAUGUUGGCGUAAUGGUUGUCAGCGACCCG